AAAUUCUUUCUCCUCAUGCUCCAGCCACAAAUUAAUCAAUUUGUCCACAGAGUACACAAUAUCCUCACGGAUCUCCUUGGGCGGGUCGAAUGCUGCUUGGUCCAUGGAUGGCUGGUUCAUACUGUCAAGGCCAGCGGGGCAAGCCGUUUGUAAAUGAUUAAAGGACCCAAAAUGCAAGCACUGUUUCUGAUGAGAGUGAGCUUUAUUGACUGGGGCUCGGUCACUCAGGCACGGCUGGCUGCCGGCGGAGCUCACGGGCGCGUCACUGCAACUCCCCCUGGCUUCUGCUCCGCGGCUGCUGAGUGAGCCCUCAUCUGGGACUCUCCUCAGCUCUUACUGGGACAGUGGCGCGUCCAUGCUCACAGGUGUACACACGGGUGAUCACACCCACAAACUACACCCUUUUUGGCUCCUACCUCAAAGCACACUGUGUUCUGUUGAUCUUAUGUGCUGCACAAUAAUGUUUAAUAUUUAGUAUUUACUGUCAUAUUCCCAUAUAUCAUUGUGAUGCUGUUUAUUCUAUUACUCUUGUUCUCUUCUGCUUGUUUUCUUUUUUCUUUCUCAGCAGGUGAUCCAGGUGAUCGAUAUAUGCAUUUUUUUUCUCUGCUUAUUCUGUUGGUUUAUGUUUUUUGCCCUUCUCCCCCGUCCCUCUUCUCAGCUGUUUCUCUUUCCCUCUUUCUUUCUCCCCUUCUUUCCCCCAGUCAAGUCUGUCCCGUAUUCAGCAAGUGAAAAUAAAAUAAACAAUAAAAGGUGAAUCAAAUGGACCAUUACGGCAAGGCUGGGAUGGUCAAUUUGGUAAAGUAAAUCCGUUGGGCAUCUUUCUUUGCCUUUAGACAACAAUUCUGAUGGCAAAAGAGCCAAACGGGACAGGCAAAAAAAAAAAAAGAAAAAGACAAACAACAAAAAAAGGGUGAGGGUGGCGAGAACAGAACUGACAAACCUAAACUGGGAAAACUAACAAAACUAACCCGAAACCGGAACAGAGAUGACACAGCCCAGAGAACAAAACACCAUAUAACACAGACAAACCAGCAACUAACAGAGGCAGACACAAGGCUUAAAUACACAGAAGGAUAACGAGGGAAUGAGACACAGAAGGAGGGCACAGCUGGGAGUAAUUAGACAUGACGGGACAGGGGAAACGAAAACUGAACACACUGACAUCAGACACGGACCUUCAAAGUAAAACAGGAAAACACACACAAGCAAAGACACAGACUCAGAGACGCGGGCUUAACACAGAGACCUGACUACACUAGAAGGGAUAUACAGGCAGGGAUGACACAAAACAGAGGGAGCAAAGAAUAAACACUGGGAAACCAAAACACAAACAGUCAUAAUUCAUAAUAAAAUCAAAAGUAAAAUUACAAAACCAAAAACACAUGGUCACCGACCCAGGACCGUGACAAAACCUAUUAUCCUGAUUGGAUCACAUCCUGUUACUCCUGUUUGCCCAGUGAUCCAUUGACCACCUGGAGGGCCUGUAGAAGUCUGUACUGAGUUGUGGGUGUGGGUGCUGCAGGGACCCGUCAAAAGUCUACCACAUCCAGCUGAUGGAGAGGCAUGCUUACACUCGUCUUUCAUUACACAGACACCAGAGCUCUACAAAAAAGCUAAACAGCUCCUGUACAAAAUGAGACAACUACGAGCUACUGGAGGAUUUGAGAUACAGCAGUGGGCC
ensembl:lncRNA